GAUGAUGUCGGGGACCCCGCAUCGAGGGGUGGUCAUUUUCGAUACCGUUGUGGCAUCUAAUGUGCCUGUGGGGUUAAUAUGGUAGUUUCGCUGGUAGGUUUUGACGGCGGACUCUAGGGUUUCGUCGAAAUCGUCGUUGUUGGCGUGAGUUUCAUUUGGGUAUUGAAGAUAGCCAAAUUGAUGGAGGUAGUUUUUGAGGUGGUGGAUAUCUUUGCUUUUGUUGCCCUUGUGACAACCUUGUAGGGUUUUGAUGAACUCAAAAGGUGAUGGUUUUUUAUCACUUGGUGUAUCCCUCUUGGAUUGGCCAAUAGGAGAGAGGGAAAUUAGGGCAAGAAUGAAAAUGAAUGAUAGGAGAUUAAAUUGUUUAAGUGCCAUAAUUAAGAAUUAAGAAGUUAUACUCAAGGAAUUCAAUAAGAAGUUUGUGUAUAACAUAAUGCAAUGUGGUAUGUCUAUUUAUAUAUACAUAUUUGUAUGUAGAAAAAAAGGAGAGGGGAAGGACACAUAAAUAUUAGAGACGACUCAUAGUAGAAGUUUGUAUGAAGAAAGAAUAAAUCAACACAAGCUCUUGUCUUUAAUUUGAUGACUUGACUUUGACUUUGACUUGAUCGCAUCAUAUAUAAUUUUUUGAACACAAAGCCAAGUCCAUGAUAUAUAAUUUACCUGAAUAUUUAUGUUUUGUACGUACACGAAUGAUAAAGAUUUACCUGGUGGAACGAAAUAAGUUUAUCUCUCGUAAGUGGUAACGAUUAUAUUUCUCUAUAAAAUGGUUUCUUUUUAUUUCAGUAUUUAUAAUCUAUUAAAAUUAAUUGAUUGGAAUAUCAUAAUCAUCUGAUUGGUGGAUACAUUAUUAUUACUGAAAGUAGUGAAUAAAGCAAUUUACAUCAUUUUUUAUUUAUAAAAUAUACUUUAUUUAACUGGCCUUCUAUUCAUUGUACUCACUAGAAAUACACCUUGGCUGCAUUUAUAUAUAUAUAUAUAUAUAUAAAUGACUUGAUGUGAUUGUAUAGUGCAAUUUCUUAAGUCCAUAGAAAGUUUACUCGGUUUAGCAUUAGGAAUGUGGAAAUAAAUUGUGUUAUUUUCUUCAUCCAAUGAGAAUUAUCAAAUAAGGCGUAAUUGAGGGGUUUGGAAUUUUAGGACAUUAUGUUGUGACUAAUGACUUGGAAAUUGGACAAAUUGGAAUUAAAUUACCACAUUCGAAGAAAAAAAUAUUACUUUCCAUGUAGCAGGGACACGGAAAGAAUGACUUGGAAAUUGGGAGGAAAUUGGAUAAAUUGGAAUUAAAUCACCACAUUCGAAGAAAAAGAAUAUUUGUUACUUUCUAUGUAGCACGGAUACGGAACCACGGACAUGGUGAAACAAGUAAAUAGACUCGGGAAAACACGAGAACACCCUAUUUUUCAAAAAAAUGGAUACGAGAAUGUGGGUAAACAUGUAAAUAUUAAAAAUAUAGGGGUACAUCCAUAAUGUAUGAAAAGAUAUUAUAAUGUUAACUUAUAUACAUAUCCUCAAUUAUAAAUUUGUAUCUACAAAUUAUAUAUAAUUUAUAAGUUCCAAUCCAUAUUAUUAUUCGAUAAAUAAUAUACAAGGCAUAUAAAUUUAUUUUAGUGUUGAAUUAAAGUCUGAAAAAUAUUAAAACACUACUAGAAUUGAAAAGAAGACAUAAAGUUUUUUUUUUUAAAUAAUCAAGUAUAGGAAAUUUCGAAUCUUUAUUCAAAAACGUGUUUUGGAUUUUUUUUUUGGGCGUAACUGCUUUUCCAUUUUUUUUAUUAUUACCAUAAACAUCACCGGAAAUUUUAAACAUUUAUGGAAACGGCUCCGAAAUGUUUCCGACAUGUGAUAGAGUUUCGAUUUCCGAAACGUUCCCUGAAACGUGGAAACGCUAUGUACCGAAGUUUCCGUGCAUCAUAGAUUGCUUUGAAUUCAUGUACAAGUAGUAAUUUUCUUGUAAAAAAUAUUAUAGAUUCUAAGAAACAACUUAUAAAAUGACUAAAAUAUUCUUCUCACUAAUUAUUUCGUUAAUUAUAUACUUAACAUAUUAAUAGUAGUAAUAACAAAAUUGAGAAAAGUGUAAUAUUAUUUCACCAUAAUUGGAAUGAGUAUUAUUUAGUAUCUACUAUCUACCCAAAAAAAAAGGUUAGUUCUAAUUUUAUUGGACCGAAUAUUCCUCAAAUUUUCAAGGGUAGUUUGGUCUUUCUGGUAACGAUGGUGAUUAAUUUGCUAAUAUGUAUUACUAUUAGUUUGCAUGUAUCCAUUUAUCUGGAAAAUUCAUUUUGGCGGUCACCGGAGCCGAAUUUAGUGAAAGAUCAGCUGUGAGCCGCCGCCGAAUUAGUACCAACGAUCCAAUUCGUUAGAUCCGAUAUACCUAAUCCAAAUUCCACCGCCGUCCUCGUUUCUUCUUCAAUCUCGCAAAUUUCCUCUUCUUAUGGAAUAAUAUCAUUACAGUUACCUUUAAGGGUAAAAUUGGUACUUUCGACAAAUAUUUCCGUCGAAAUUAACAGUUUAAGUGGACAAUGUAAGGCGACAACAAAUUUCAGACCAAUGGGAAAACAAAAUAAUAAAUACAAAAAUAUGUAUAUAUUAAUGUUUCAGAACAAUGGGAAAACAAAUACACAAAUUAUUAUAAAGUUUAUUUUAUUCAUUAAUAUUAGAAAGGUAAAAAAAAAAUCCUUAAGUAGCACACUAAUACAUUAUUCCGAACAAAAGAAACAUUUUGUUACAUUUAUAGAGAUAGAUGACGUGUCUUUUAAUUCAAUCAAACCAUACGCAAUAAUAUUUCAGAUAUUAUAUAAAGCUCUAAUUCCUUGAAUAUCAUCUGCAUGCAAGCCCUUUGUCACUCCGGCCCCAAUUCCGGAGUACAUAAUGGCAGCCUCGACCGAGCUAUGACCAAGCCCAAGAAGGUGCCCAAUUUCAUGUAGCGCCACCGUUUCCAAGUCGAAAGCAUCUUGGACAGGCCCAACGGACCACUGCUCGUCCGCAUCGUAAUGGAAUCUCCCAUUGGUCGGAGCAAAAGCAUGGGCUAGGGUUCCGCCGCGUCCGUCGAACGGGUUUCCGUCCCCGUGGUCCCCACGGUGAAACCCUAUCACCAGAUCUGCGGAACUCUGGGCCAGCGAAAAGGUGAAAUGGGUGGAGGAGGCCCAUUUUUGAAAGGCCCGAGAAACGGGACCCACUGCCGCCCCGGGGGUGUUUGGCAAAAACCUAUAAGUUAGAUGGGUUUUGGAAGGCGGCCAUCUAGGGUUUCCUUGAAAGAAAGAGUAGUGAGAUACCGUAUGGAUAUGUUUGCUGCUCGAGUUCGAUUCGUGUUCUUUUGUCCCAUGCUUCUGCAUGGUGUUUUUACCGUCGAUGAUGUCAGGGACCCCGCAUCGUGGGGUGGUCAUUUUCGAUACCGUUGUGGCAUCUAAUGUGCCCGUGGGGUUAAUAUGGUAGUUUCGCUGGUAGGUUUUGACGGCGGACUCUAGGGUUUCGUCGAAAUCAUCGUUGUUGGCGUGGGUUUCAUUUGGGUAUUGGAGAUAGCCAAAUUGAUGGAGAUAGUUUUUGAGGUGGUGGAUAUCUUUGGUUUUGUUGCCCUUGUGACAACCUUGUAGGGUUUUGAUGAACUCAAAAGGUGAUGGUUUUUUAUCACUUGGUGUAUCACUCUUGGAUUGGCCAAUAGGAGAGAGGGAAAUUAGGGCAAGAAUGAAAAUGAAUGAUAGGAGAUUAAAUUGUUUAAGUGCCAUAACUAUGUAUCAAGAAGUUAUACUAAGAAUUGGAUAAGAAGUUUGUGUAUAGCAUAAUGCAAUGUGGUAUGUCUAUUUAUAUAUACACAUUUGUAUGUAGAAAAAAAGGAGAGGGGAAGGACACAUAAAUAUUAGAGACGACUCAUAGUAGAAGUUUGUAUGAAGAAAGAAUAAAUCAACACAAGCUCUUGUCUUCAAUUUGAUGACUUGACUUUGACUUGAUCGCAUCAUGUAUAAUUUUUUAGGCCAAGUCCAUGAUAAUUUACUUGGAUAUUUAUGUUUUGUAUGUACAUACAUACAUGAAUGAUGAAGAUUUACCUGUUGGAACAAAGUAAGUUUAUCUCUCGUAAAUCGUAACGAUUAUAUUUCUCUAUAAAAUGGUUCUUUUCUAUUUGAUGAUGCUAUAAAUAGACCGCCUUAAGUAGUUGAGGUAGAAGGAGUUGGGAGAGCAAAGUGGAUCACUGCUCACGUGCUAGAUGGUCCUGAGAUACCCGCGAACAAAGAGCACGCGAACGAGGCCGUGGGUUGAUCCGGCGAAAAUCCCUUUGACGCUCAAGUCAGACGUGUGGAUAGUAGAAAUAGUUAAGAGGAUACGAAUUGGAGAAUUGUUCAGAUAAUAGAACGUACCUUUAAUAAAAUGGUUAAAUCGUUAUUUAUAACUUGUCGAUUGGGCCGAAGUUAAUUUGUUGUGCUCAAACCUUAUUUGCAGGUCAUUGGGCUCUCCUAAUACUGUUCUUCUAAAUCGGGCUCGUGGCCCAAUAAAUAGAGAAAUUGUAUGGUUAUUGGACUGACCAAUUAGACAUAUCAUAUUUUAGUAUUUAUAAUCUAUAAAAUUAAUUGAUUGGAAUAUCAUAAUCAUCUUAUUGGUGGAUACAUUAUUAUUAAUGAAAGUAGUUGAAUAAAGCAAUUUACAUCAUUUUUUAUUUAUAAAAUAUAUUUUAUUUAAUUGUCCUUCUAUUUAUUAUACUCACUAGAAAUACACCUUGGCUGCAUUUAUAUAUAUAUAUAUAUAUAUAUAUAUAUAUAUAUAUAUAUAUAUAUAUAUAUAUAUAUAUAUAUAUAUAAAUGACUUGAUGUGAGUGUAUAGUGCAAUUUCUUGAAUAGAAGAUUAAGAGGGUGUUUGGCUAAGCUUAUAAGAUGUUAAAAGGAGCUUAUAAGAUGUUUUAGAGCUUAUAAGCUCUUCUAAAGUGUUUGGUAAAUUUUUAAAAAAGAUCUUAAUUUUUUUAAAAAUAAGCUGUGGGAGACCAAAUAAAAUCUUUUUAAAUAAGUACCUCUACCCCACCUUUUCAUUUAAGAUCUUAUAAUGAGUAAAAAUAGGAAAUAAGCUCAUUAUCCAAACACUAUAAAAAUUAAUCCUAAAAAUAAGACAUAACAACUUAUCAGCUCUAAAAACAUCUUAUCAGAUGUAAGAGCUUAUCAGCUGUUUAAAAUAAGCUUAGCCAAACACCCUCUAAGUCCAUAGAAAGUUUACUCGGUUUCUAUUUGAAUUAGGAAUGUGGAAAUAAAUUGUGUUAUUUUUCUUCAUCCAAUGAGAAUUUUCAAGUAAGGCGUAAUUGAGGGGUUUGGAAUUUUUAGGACACUAUGUUGUGACCAAUGACUUGGAAAUUGGGAGGAAAUUGGACGAAUUGGAAUUAAAUUACCACAUUCGAAAAAAAUAAUUAUUUGUUGUUUUUUAUGUAGCACGGACACGGGAACUCGGACAUGGUGAAACAGGUAAAUAGACUCAGGAAAACACGAGAAAACCCUAUUUUUCAAAAAAAUGGAUACGAAAAUGUGGGGAAACAUGUAAAUAUUAAAAAUAUAGGGGUACAUCCAUAAUGUAUGGAAAAAUAUUAUAAUGUUAACUUAUAUACUUAUCAUCAAUUAUAUAUAAUUUACAAGUUCCAAUCCAUAUUAUUAUUCGGUAAAUAAUAUACAAGGCAUAUAAAUUUAUUUUAGUGUGGAAUUAAAGUCUGAAAAAUAUUAAAACACUACUAGAAUUGAAAAGGGGACAUAAAUUUUUUUUAAUAAAAAAAAUAAGUAUAGGCAAUUUCGACUCUUUAUUUAAAACGUGUUUUGGAUUUUUUUUUUGGGCGUAACUGCUUUUCCAUUUUUUUAUUAUUACCAGAAACAUCCCCGAAAAUUUUAAACAUUUAUGGAAACGGCCCCGAAACAUUUCCGACAUGUGUUAUAGAGUUUCGAUUUCCGAAACGUUUCCUGAAAUGUGGAAACGCUAUGUAACGAAGUUUCCGUGCAUCAUAGAUUGCUUUGAAUUCAUGUACAAGUAGUAAUUUUCUUGUAAAAAAAUAUCAUAGAUUCUAAGAUAUAAAAAACUUAUAAAAUGACUAAAAUAUUCCUCUCACUAAUUAUUUCAUUAAUUAUAUACUUAACAAAUUAAUAGUAGUAAUAAUAAAAUUGAGAAAAGUGUAUUAUUUCACCAUAAUUGGAAUGAGUAUUAUUUACUAUCUACCCCCAAAAAAAAGGUUAGUUCUAAUUUUAUGGACCAAAUAUUCCCCAAUAUUUCAAGGGUAGUUUGGUCUUUCUGGUAACGAGGGUGAUUAAUUUGCUAAUAUGUAUUACUAAUAUACUAUUAGUUUGCAUAAUAUCCAUUUAUAAGGAAAAUUCAUUUUGGCGGUCACCGGCGCCGAAUUUAAUGACAAAUCAGCUGUGAGCCGCCGCCGCCGCCGCCGAAUCAGAAACCCACGAUCCAAUUUGUUAGAUCCGAUAUAAUCCGGAUUCUACCGCCGUUCUCGUUUCUUCUUCAAUCUCGCAAAUUUCCUCUUCUUAUGGAAUAAUAUUAUUACAAUUACCUCUAACGGUCAAAAUGGUAUUUUCGACAAAUAUUUCCGUCGAAAUUCUAAUUAGUAUAAGUGGAUAAUGUAAGGCGACAACAUAUUUUAGGCCAAUGGGAAAACAAAAUAAUAAAUACAAAAAUAUCUAUGUAUAUUAAUAUUUCAGACCAAUGGGAAAAACAAAACACAAAUUAUUAUAAAGUUUAUUUUAUUCAUUAUUAUUAGAAAGGUUAAAAAGAAAAUCAUUAAGUAGCACUCUAGUACAUUAUUCCGAACAAAAGAAACAUUUUGUUACAUUUAUAUAUAUAGAGAUAGAUGACGUAUCUUUUAAUUCAAUAACAAUAUUUCAGACAUUAUAUAAAGAUUUAAUUCCUUGAAUAUCAUCUGGAUGCAAGUUCUUGGUCACUCCGGCGCCAAUUCCGGAAUACAUGAUUGCAGCCUCGACUGCGCUAUGCCCAAGCCCAAGAAGGUGCCCGAUUUCAUGCAGCGCCACCGUUUCCAAGUCGAAAGCAUCUUGGACUGGACCAACGGACCACAACUCGUCCGCAUCGUAAUGGAAUCUCCCAUUGGUCGGAGCAAAAGCAUGGGCUAGGGUUCCGCCACGUCCGUCGAACGGGUUUCCGUCCCCGUGAUCCCCACUGUGAAACCCUAUCACCAGAUCGGCAGAGCUCUGGGCCAGCGAAAAAGUGAAAUGGGUGGAGGAGGCCCAUUUCUGAAAGGCCCGAGAAACGGGGCCCACUGCCGCCGCGGGGGUGUUGGCCGAAAACAUGUAAGUUAGAUGGGUUUUGGAACGCGGCCAUCUAGGGUUUCCUGGAAGGAAAGAGUAGUGAGAUACUGUAUGGAUAUGUUUGCUGCUCGAGUUCGAUUCGUGUUCUUUUGUCCCAUGCUUCUGCAUGGUGUUUUUACCGUUGAUGAUGUCGGGGACCCCGCAUCGAGGGGUGGUCAUUUUCGACACCGUUGUGGCAUCUAAUGUGCCCGUGGGGUUAAUAUUGUAGUUUCGCUGGUAGGUUUUGACAGCGGACUCUAGGGCUUCGUCGAAAUCGUCGUUGUUGGCAUGGGUUUGAUUUGGGUAUUGGAGAUAGCCAAAUUUAUGGAGGUAUUUUUUGAGAUUGUGGAUUUCUUUGGUUUUGUUGCCCUUGUGACAACCUUGUACGGUUUUGAUGAAUUCAAAUGGUGAUGGUUUUUUGUCACUUGGUGUAUU
rnacentral:lncRNA from 1 species